CAAGUCAGAGCCGAGAGUUGAUGCCUCUUGUUGGUUGGGGACGAUAAAAGUGCGAAUGUUGCAGCCAGUAAUUGCGAGCACAAAGGAUUGAAAAUUGUAGAUCAACUUGUGCAACUACAAAAUCAGUCAGUAAGAAAAGCAAGGCUAACACAUGGCGGUAGCCCUUUACAUUUUGCGGAGGUUUGCCCUGGUGCUUGUGAGGAACACAAAGUCGGAGUGUGGUGUUCACCCGGCUGUGUUUGUCGCGUGAUGGAUGCCAUUGGCGAACCCCUAUUUUUGUGCUUUGAAGAUGGCAAACCACUUCCACUGGGCUUUCACUGAGCGUGACACAAGUUGCCUUCCUGUAUCAGAUGAAUGUGCUUAUUUAUUGUAUUAUGACUGAAUCCAAAUAAACAUCUUUAUGUCUGAA
rnacentral:misc_RNA from 1 species